rnacentral:rRNA from 1 species
GACGAACGCUGGCGGCGGGCUUAACACAUGCAAGUCGAACGGAAAGGCCCUGCUUUUGUGGGGUGCUCGAGUGGCGAACGGGUGAGUAACACGUGAGUAACCUGCCCUUGACUUUGGGAUAACUUCAGGAAACUGGGGCUAAUACCGGAUAGGAGCUCCUGCUGCAUGGUGGGGGUUGGAAAGUUUCGGCGGUUGGGGAUGGACUCGCGGCUUAUCAGCUUGUUGGUGGGGUAGUGGCUUACCAAGGCUUUGACGGGUAGCCGGCCUGAGAGGGUGACCGGCCACAUUGGGACUGAGAUACGGCCCAGACUCCUACGGGAGGCAGCAGUGGGGAAUAUUGCACAAUGGGCGGAAGCCUGAUGCAGCAACGCCGCGUGCGGGAUGACGGCCUUCGGGUUGUAAACCGCUUUCGCCUGUGACGAAGCGUGAGUGACGGUAAUGGGUAAAGAAGCACCGGCUAACUACGUGCCAGCAGCCGCGGUGAUACGUAGGGUGCGAGCGUUGUCCGGAUUUAUUGGGCGUAAAGGGCUCGUAGGUGGUUGAUCGCGUCGGAAGUGUAAUCUUGGGGCUUAACCCUGAGCGUGCUUUCGAUACGGGUUGACUUGAGGAAGGUAGGGGAGAAUGGAAUUCCUGGUGGAGCGGUGGAAUGCGCAGAUAUCAGGAGGAACACCAGUGGCGAAGGCGGUUCUCUGGGCCUUUCCUGACGCUGAGGAGCGAAAGCGUGGGGAGCGAACAGGCUUAGAUACCCUGGUAGUCCACGCUGUAAACGGUGGGUACUAGGUGUGGGGUCCAUUCCACGGGUUCCGUGCCGUAGCUAACGCUUUAAGUACCCCGCCUGGGGAGUACGGCCGCAAGGCUAAAACUCAAAGGAAUUGACGGGGCCCCGCACAAGCGGCGGAGCAUGCGGAUUAAUUCGAUGCAACGCGUAGAACCUUACCUGGGUUUGACAUGGAUCGGGAGUGCUCAGAGAUGGGUGUGCCUCUUUUGGGGUCGGUUCACAGGUGGUGCAUGGCUGUCGUCAGCUCGUGUCGUGAGAUGUUGGGUUAAGUCCCGCAACGAGCGCAACCCUUGUUCACUGUUGCCAGCACGUUAUGGUGGGGACUCAGUGGAGACCGCCGGGGUCAACUCGGAGGAAGGUGGGGAUGACGUCAAGUCAUCAUGCCCCUUAUGUCCAGGGCUUCACGCAUGCUACAAUGGCUGGUACAGAGAGUGGCGAGCCUGUGAGGGUGAGCGAAUCUCGGAAAGCCGGUCUCAGUUCGGAUUGGGGUCUGCAACUCGACCUCAUGAAGUCGGAGUCGCUAGUAAUCGCAGAUCAGCAACGCUGCGGUGAAUACGUUCCCGGGGCU